rnacentral:rRNA from 1 species
UACGGAGGGUGCAAGCGUUAAUCGGAAUUACUGGGCGUAAAGCGCGCGUAGGCGGUUUUUUAAGUCGGAUGUGAAAGCCCCGGGCUCAACCUGGGAACUGCAUCCGAUACUGGAAGACUAGAAUGCGGGAGAGGGAGGUAGAAUUCCAUGUGUAGCAGUGAAAUGCGUAGAUAUAUGGAGGAAUACCAGUGGCGAAGGCGGCCUCCUGGCUCGACAUUGACGCUGAGGUGCGAAAGCGUGGGGAGCAAACGGC